UGCUCCUCCAAAGCUUGUUCUUAGCCAUCGGUCAUUUCUUCUCUAUGUUCCAUUUUGUUAUGGAACUGAGACUUAAAGUAUAGUCUGUAAUCAAAUCACUCCUAAAUAUUGAUAUUCCAAUCCUACAUCUAUCUAAACCAGUGGUUUUCCAAUCAGGGCUGAUGUUGUGCCACCCACCCCGCCAGGGGACAUCUGACAAUGUCUGGAUACAUCUUAAUUGUCACAACUUGGAGAAUGAGAAUACUUCUGGCAUCUAAUGGGCAGAGGCCAGAGAUGGUGCCAAGCAUCUUACAGUAGUUUGCUGAGAAUAAUGUUCUCCAGAUUCAUCCAUGAAAGGAGGAGAGAGAAGAUGGCACUGUAGGACCAACUCAGGAUUGCACCUCCCAGUGAAACCGCAGAUGGAAUCACUGUAUACCUCAGAACUGGUUUGAAGAGCUAAGAAAAGGAGUACAGUGAAGAAGAAAACAAUGCCACCCUUGCUGGAACUCCAGGCUCAUCUUUCUCCAUUACCUUCCCAAUAUUCCACCAUCCAGCAUUACCCAGUGGUUUCCAGUUUCUGUUGCCUCUGCCUACAACCCUGUCUCCAUCACCACCAUCUGAUGAGUCUGCCUUAGCUCUCAGCUUAGAGGCUUCACUUCCUCCUGAGGUUGCUUUCUCCCAAGUUAAAAACAGACUGAGAGCAUCCAAUCUAUGGGAAACACCAGAAAGGGCCAUCACAGAACCCAGAGGAGAAAAUAACAGACCCCUGUGUCACGAGUAUCACAUUCAGAUCUCCAUAAAUAAAGGCUCCUUCACAUCUGGAAUUAAU
rnacentral:lncRNA from 1 species